GUUGUCUCAUUAUUAUCGACAUCAACUUACAUACAUAUGCACUCACUCUCAAAUUGUUUUUGCAAAUUCGCCAUUCCCAAGAAUCCCCGGGACGGCCACUUUUCAACAGGGUAGUAGCCAACUAAAUUUGUUAAUGAUCCUUCCGCAGGUUCACCUACGGAAA
rnacentral:misc_RNA from 1 species